rnacentral:rRNA from 1 species
GCAGCAUGGUCUUAGCUUGCUAAGGCCGAUGGCGACCGGCGCACGGGUGAGUAACGCGUAUCCAACCUGCCUUACACUCUUGGACAGCCUUCUGAAAGGGAGAUUAAUACAAGAUGUUAUCAUGAGUAAGCAUUUUCGCAUGAUUAAAGGUUUACCGGUGUAAGAUGGGGAUGCGUUCCAUUAGAUAGUAGGCGGGGUAACGGCCCACCUAGUCUUCGAUGGAUAGGGGUUCUGAGAGGAAGGUCCCCCACAUUGGAACUGAGACACGGUCCAAACUCCUACGGGAGGCAGCAGUGAGGAAUAUUGGUCAAUGGACGAGAGUCUGAACCAGCCAAGUAGCGUGAAGGAUGAAGGUUCUAUGGAUUGUAAACUUCUUUUAUACGGGAAUAAACGAAUCCACGUGUGGAUUUUUGCAUGUACCGUAUGAAUAAGGAUCGGCUAACUCCGUGCCAGCAGCCGCGGUAAUACGGAGGAUCCGAGCGUUAUCCGGAUUUAUUGGGUUUAAAGGGAGCGUAGAUGGGUUGUUAAGUCAGUUGUGAAAGUUUGCGGCUCAACCGUAAAAUUGCAAUUGAUACUGGCAGUCUUGAGUACAGUUGAGGUAGGCGGAAUUCGUGGUGUAGCGGUGAAAUGCUUAGAUAUCACGAAGAACUCCGAUUGCGAAGGCAGCUUACUAACCUGUAACUGACAUUGAUGCUCGAAAGUGUGGGUAUCAAACAGGAUUAGAUACCCUGGUAGUCCACACGGUAAACGAUGAAUACUCGCUGUAGGCGAUAUACGGUCUGCGGCCAAGCGAAAGCAUUAAGUAUUCCACCUGGGGAGUACGCCGGCAACGGUGAAACUCAAAGGAAUUGACGGGGGCCCGCACAAGCGGAGGAACAUGUGGUUUAAUUCGAUGAUACGCGAGGAACCUUACCCGGGCUUAAAUUGCAACCGAAUAUGGCGGAAACGCC